rnacentral:rRNA from 1 species
UACGUAGGGACCGAGCGUUGUCCGGAAUCAUUGGGCGUAAAGAGCGUGUAGGCGGCCACUUAAGUCCUGCGUGAAAUCUUGCGGCUCAACCGCAAGCGGUCGUGGGAAACUGGGUGGCUAGAGUGCGGGAGAGGAGAGUGGAAUUCCUGGUGUAGCGGUGGAAUGCGCAGAUAUCAGGAAGAACACCCGUGGCUAAGGCGGCUCUCUAGUACGGUACUGACGCUGAGACGCGAAAAGCGUGGGGAGCGAACAGG